UACGAAGGGGGCUAGCGUUGCUCGGAUUGACUGGGCGUAAAGGGCGCGUAGGCGGUUCGUACAGUCAGACGUGAAAUUCCUGGGCUCAACCUGGGGGCUGCGUUUGAUACGUGCGGGCUUGAGUGCGGAAGAGGGUCGCGGAAUUCCCGGUGUAGAGGUGAAAUUCGUAGAUAUCGGGAGGAACACCGGUGGCGAAGGCGGCGACCUGGGUAGAUACUGACGCUGAGGCGCGAAAGCGUGGGGAGCGAACAGG
rnacentral:rRNA from 1 species